CAGAAAAUUUGACAGUGUAUUAUGUACAUCUGUACCUCUGCGAACCACUGUUCCAGAAUCUGGCAAGAUCCAACUAUAUAUUCUUCCCAAUCUCACAUGAAUCAGGAUUUCAUCAUACACUGCUCAUUUUUGACAAGGAAUUAAAGAACUGGUCCCACUAUGAUUCAAAAAGACCGAAAAAAUCAUCAACUGGAAAAUCCUUUCAAAAUGUACAAAAAAUGGUUGACAUGGUAGAACUUUGGAUGACAGCAGUAAAAGAACAAGCGAUGACAUGCUGGAACAGGGAUGCAGAAUGAAAUUUGAUGAAAAGAACAGUUCAGAAGAAGAACUGAAAAUGAUGGAAGUUCCAUUGACUGAAACCGAGAGAGAAAGCAUAAAGUGGAUCAAGGAUAACUAUAAAAGAAAAAUGGCAGUGACAGAACUCAAAGACAACCCUCAGCAAGGAGAAGAUUCAUUGGAUUGCGGACUUUUUGUAAUGUACACAAUGGAGAAAAUUUCGAAAAAAGGGAGAGUUCCAAAGAAGCUCACAAAGGAUGAUAUUUUGAAAUUUAGAGCUCAUGUUGUAAAGUCAUUUGCAGAAAGUAGG